UCCUGAUUGGCAACAAUCCGAAGGGUCUCCCCGAUAAAUCCGAUGCACUGCUUUGGGAUUUAAUAAAAAGGGAAGAAAUACCGACCUCCCUUCAGAAGGGCCGUCGAAUAUCCACGCUUUCUUCUACUCCUCCGAUGUCCAGUCCUUUCGAUAAGUGCUUAUGGAGCACUCUAAUAGCCGCAUGACACGAUUCUUGAAAACCAGAUUCUAAAAAAGAGUUGUGAAGCAGUUGAUCAUGCUACGAGAUUGAAGGAGGAUUCAAUGCUUUUGCUGAGAGUGUUAUCAUACUGGUCAUUUGGAUUCUUUAUGGUUUAUGAACUAGGUGCUGGUUGCAUUACCUGAGAUUAGAAUCUUCCUGGUUGGUGUUUGCGAGAUGAUGAGCUCUGGGAAUCUGGGAAAAUAAAAUCAAACUCAGGGA